rnacentral:lncRNA from 1 species
CGAUUUAAUUGUAAUUCUUAUAAUUAUAUCUAAUUAUUAAUUUUCUGUUUCUGUAGUACAUGGGGAGAAACAUCUUUCAUGAGUAUUCAAACUACUAUUCUUAUAAUUUUGAGCUAUUAUUACAAUGGCAUCAUAUCUGGUGCUGUAAUAUUUCCAGUUGUGUAUGCAGUAUUUGUCUAUGUAUUAACUUGUGGCGUGGUACCAAUAGACGUUCAUACUACAAUGCAAGUUGGUGUCUUGCCUAUUAUAUCAUUUAGUAAAGUAAGUAACGCAGUAACUUUAUUUUGGUUAUACUGGAUAAUUCGUGCAAUGCUAAAUUUCUGUGUAGUGGUAGAAUUGGACCGGCCAUCCCUUAAGCCCGCCGCACACGAGCGCACUUGUCGCGCGUGCUUGUUAUUCGUGACAAGUUGGAUCGACAAAAUUUCCUCGUGUGCGGGCAACAUUUACGGCAUUUUCGUCAUUCUUGACAUGUAAACCAAAUAUCAAACAUGUUUGAUAUUUUUCGUCAUUCGUGACCAAAACAUUCUCGUGUGCGGCGAGCAAACGACAAACGCGCCUGAAUAGGAAAAUGUGCGCAUGCGUGCUCGUGAUUUUGAUCCGCUAUGUUGUUUUUAAUUCUGCAAGUUGCACGCAUGCGCAAAUUUUCCUAUUCAGGCGCGCUUGUCGUUUGCUCGCCGCACACGAGAAUUUUUUGGUCACGAAUGAAGAAAAAUAUCAAACAUGUUUGAUAUUUGGUUUACAUGUCACGAAUGACGAAAAUGCCGUAAAUGUUGCCCGCACACGAGGGAAUUUUGUCGAUCCAACUUGUCACGAAUAACAAGUACGCGCAACAAGUGCGCUCGUGUGCGGCGGGCUUUAAUUACUAGCCAAGGAUCUUUUAAAUUGUUCACAUUGACACAUAUGCCUAAGCCUACAGUAUAAGGUAAAGUUUUCUCUGAAACUGAGUAUUGUUAAUAGUUUUUCCAUCCUGAACACGAAAGUGACAAAUAAAUAUUUUCGUAAAAUAGCAAAAAUGUUGAAGUUAUAUAAUAUAGAUGUAUAAUUAUAGUAUAUUAUCCGUACCCAUGAUUUUAGCACAUCUGGUGAUAAAUGUGCCUGAUAAAUAUUUUCCUGACUUCCUGCCUAAUUUGUCCGAAUUAAUUGAACUGCCUCACCUUCUUCUCUCUUGUAUGGGUAAUAUGGGUUAGUUGGGAAAAGGAAUAGGCACUUGACGACAAAUGGCUAUAUUUUUCAAUAAACCUAGACAAAACCGUAAAGUUAGCGACCGUUAACUAUGCUUAAAAUAAUAAAAUGAUAUGAGGAGAAUACCUUUAAUACUUGCACUACAAAGUGAAAUUCAUCAGAACUUAUCACUCUUUCGUUGGAUAAUUAUUACUCCAACGCCCAGUCUAUUUGUAACAAUGGUUAGUCUCGCUGAAGAUUAAGAUUAACAAAAAAAAUGUCCGUUGCAUAAGCCAUGAGAUACAGAUCGAAGAAGUUAUUUCGCUGACCUCAGAAUGACAUUUCGUCAAAACGUUUUUCUUCAAGAUUGGUUUAGAAACAAACUUGGAGUAGGGUUAGGAUCAGGGUUAGUGUUUGGAAUAGGGUUAGUGUUAACCAAACACACCAUUUUAGUUUUCAAGAAACCAGAAAAUAAAGACCAGAAAAAUUACGCAACAACUGACAACUCAUUUCACCGUUUUGUAGUUCCUCAAAAUAUCUUCCUAUUAAUUGAAUUGUCAAUUUUACAAAGUGCUGAGGAGGGAGGUGGAGGGCAAGCCAUUACUAUCCGUGAAUUUCAAUACAUACGAGGACAUGGCAGCCAGCAAGCAGGAUGUCGACAGAUACAGCCGUUUAAUCCGAGGCCUGUCUCUCUGAAAGGUCCCCGGGGCAUCCCCUUGCAACGUACAUUUUAAUAUACAGUACAGUCUGUUAUUGUUCUUUUAGUGUCUUCAAAUAUACGAGAACGUACGUAAUGGACAUACUGGACAAUUGUCUGGUCUGAUGAUCUUUCUCAUGUUCUCCGGAUGUGUGGCACGUGUGUUUACAACUUAUCACGAGACUGGAGACAUGGUCCUCCUCGCAAGCUUCCUUCUCUCGCUGUCCCUAAAUGGGAUAUUGCUUUUCCAGAUUACCUAUUAUGCAGACAAGCAUCCAGAUAAAAAAGUAAAGAAAAGCGCAUAAUGGAGUACACUGUACUACUAAUGUAAAACCCACUUCGUGCGUAUAAUUACUUUAAUUUUAAACUUCACGAGCACUUUAAAAAUCAUUGGAAUGCUAAAUAAUAUAAUAGUCCUAUUAAAUGUACCAUUUUUAAGGUCGUUUCUUUUAGCUAUAAAGUAUAAUUGUUUACAUUUAACACUUCUUCCAGGUUGGAAACCGCACUAACCAAUUGCUGGUUCCUGCAUUAAAUUACCGGUUUUUGACGGCUUGUUGAAAUGUGUAUAUUUGCCCCCAUUGUCGAAAUCUGAUAAUACAUUUUUUAGCAGACUAAAAUAAAAG